UGUGCCAGACUGGAGCUGGUGCACCAAGAGUGACAAAGCUCCUACCUGCACCUUCAGCCCUGGCCAACAUCAGCCGACAGGACCUCUGCUAUGGUGGUGGAUCUGCUGCUCUGCUCCGCCCUGCUGCUCCCUAACCUCCAUCGGAAUUGUUCCCACUCGAGAGCUUAUUCCAGUCCUGCCCCACUUCAACGAGCAGCUAAAGACUUCACAAAGAAAGUAAAGAAUUGAAGUUAUUUUAAUCCUAUGCAAAUUUUGAGUGAUUAAAUGAAACUGGGUGGCUGGAUUCAAAAGAAGACGGAAGUUGAUCAGAAGACACCAAAAGCCGUUGAAAUUUGCUCUUCCAUUUAACAAUACAGGUGCAGGAGCCCUGUGUGAUUUUACAACUGACCACCCAAUGGCUACAGGGUGAUAGGACAAGUAAAAGAAAAAAGUGGAUUCCAAAGACUAUAAUGCACUGUAACUUUCUGAGAAGACUGCCCGAAAGACAGACAUAUUGAUGUCUUCUUGCUGAAAAGCUUUUAGUGUGCUUGUAUUUUCUGUCAAGUAACUUUUAAAAUCAAAAGUUAGUAUCUGAAGUUGGUAUCUGAAGAAGUAUGCAUGCACACAAAAGCUUAUACCCAAAACAAAUGUAAUUGGUCUCUAAGGUGCUACUGGACAAUUGUUUAAUUUAUUUUAAAAUCAAAGUUUGCUUUCAAUUGGAAACUCGGUUUGUCCAGAGAGACCAUCUUAUGGCUUCUAGGAAUACUACUGAAUAGAGAUGGUAAAAUGAAUAGUUGACAAACUGGGACAUUUCCUAGGAAACCACUCCAUUGCUUGUUAGGGAAAGUAUCUCUCUCAAGUUUUGAACUGGAUUUUAUGUACAGAUA